rnacentral:rRNA from 1 species
CCUACGGGAGGCAGCAGUGAGGAAUAUUGGUCAAUGGGCGGGAGCCUGAACCAGCCAAGUCGCGUGAGGGAAGACGGUCCUAUGGAUUGUAAACCUCUUUAGGCGGGGAGCAAUGCCGGGCACGCGUGCCCGGAGGGAGAGUACCCGCAGAAUAAGCAUCGGCUAACUCCGUGCCAGCAGCCGCGGUAAUACGGAGGAUGCGAGCGUUAUCCGGAUUUAUUGGGUUUAAAGGGUGCGCAGGCGGAAGAUCAAGUCAGCGGUAAAAUUGAGAGGCUCAACCUCUUCGAGCCGUUGAAACUGGUUUUCUUGAGUGAGCGAGAAGUAUGCGGAAUGCGUGGUGUAGCGGUGAAAUGCAUAGAUAUCACGCAGAACUCCGAUUGCGAAGGCAGCAUACCGGCGCUCAACUGACGCUCAUGCACGAAAGUGUGGGUAUCGAACAGGAUUAGAUACCCGGGUAGUC